rnacentral:rRNA from 1 species
GACAGAGGGUGCAAACGUUGUUCGGAAUUACUGGGCGUAAAGCGAGUGUAGGCGGUGUGGUAAGUCGGAUGUGAAAGCCCCGGGCUCAACCCGGGAAGUGCACCUCGAUACUGCCACGCUAGAGUAUCGGAGAGGUGGUGGAAUUCUCGGUGUAGAGGUGAAUUCGUAGAUAUCGGGGAGGAACACCGGUGGCGAAGGCGGUUCUCUGGGCCUGUACUGACGCUGAGGAGCGAAAGCGUGGGGAGCGAACAGG